GCUGUGAAUCCAGUAGGUCGGUUAAAGCAAGUCGGGGCCAAAUUAUCAAAACAAUUGAGGACAUCUUGUUUCAUUACUCAUACCCGUCCAAACAGCCUGGAGCGGCAGACGCGGGGAAUAAACAACAUUAACAAUUAACAUAAACAUAACAAUUGUAGUAACAAGUUGUUUAUUGGUAAACAUUGUAACACGUGCCGCGUUCAUAGUGAUUUUCGCGGGCGUCAUCAGUUGCUAAUGAGGGAACAUGGCGCGAAGGCUGAUAAUCCUCAUGAUGUGUGCAAUAAUAUUAUCCAGUGACGUCACGGGUUACAUACUCCAGUCAUCAGUGGGAACGACAAAAGAACACCAGACGACCAUUGAACAAAGGGCUCUGUCAAAAACUACGAACGUUUCGGAUGAUUACAGAAAAUAUAACUUUAUAUUGACGACAUAUUUAUAGGGACAUAUCAGUAGAAGGGACCCAUUACCCGUGAUAUUUGUAUUUUACUAAUUUUGUAUUAAAAUGAUGUUACCAUUUGA